rnacentral:RNase_P_RNA from 1 species
UGGGCAGGGAAGUGGUCGCAUCCCCUUAUGUGGGAUGAGGAAAGUCCGGACACCAUAGGGCAGGCCGCCUCCUGAAAGGGAGGGCACCAGCAGGGAGACCCGCUGGUGACGGAUAGUGCCACAGAAAACAGACCGCCCUGAUUUGCAGGGUAAGGGUGAAAAGGUGGGGUAAGAGCCCACCGCUCUUCCUGGUAACAGGAGAGGCACGGUAAACCCCGGCCGGUGCAAGGCCAAGCAGUCCCGAUGGGGUGGCUCCGCUCCACACCCUGAUGGGUUAAGGGACGGGUGGGCUGCAUAGAGCAAUGACCACAUAAACAGAAUCCGGCUUAUCCCUGCCUCUUUU